GCACAGGAUAGACGCAGCCUUCAGUUACAAUGUGGCAGCAUCUCAACGAGAAAGAGAGGCAUCUAUUAGAAACCAAGAUAAACAAAAAAUGCAGGCAAGACUUAGUCGGUCUUCUGGUAACAUCUGCAGGGUGGGAAACAAGAGUUAACAUUUGAAAUCGAUGGCCGUUUCUUCUAUUUUGGAGCCGGAAGUAAACAAACCCGGAAAAGAGAUGGAUACUAAAAGCCUUUCUUCCUCACUUUCAGCUGGCGCAAAUUCUUCCAGUCUCACCCCCUGCCACGUGUUAAUAAUACCCCAUGAGCUAACCCAGAUUUUGCGGACUGAGAAAAUAUGAAGUAUACGGACCAAAUUCAUUGGAAUUGAAGAGUCACCAGACUCGAAAGAUUUUGCCAGAUUUGCUGAGAUUCUCCAGCAAUUUCCAUUUUUGUCACAGUGAAGAAUCAACCACCUUGCUGUGUGUCUGGAGUCACAUGAAGUCUAGACCAGAUAUCUCCUCCUGCUCCUUUGGCAUCAACAAAGGAAGAACCGUGUAGAAGGUCAGGACUCAGCAGUGGGUGGAAGGACCACCACAAUUCUCCUCUGGCAUCAAACCUAUCCUAUAAGAGAAAAGUCAGAGCCAUGUCAGCAGUCCAAAGUACCACUGAAGAUGCACAGCAAAACCUGAUCCGACGAUUAGCUGUAUCUACAUAUUCACUUUCCAGAACAGGAAUACUAUCUUGAGAUUUUCUUUCUCCCUUUAAUUCCCUGUUCCUAACUGGUCACCCCAAUUGAAAUGAAGUGACUUAGCACAGACCGAAAAAAAAGUUAUGUUUGGUAAAGCAAUUGCAGACUUUGUCCAUUCCGAGUAUUUGGUGAGCAAGUAAAUGAAUUAUAAAAAAAUGUAAAGUGUUUUUUUUUGAAACAGUUAGAAGCAGAAGACCCAAGAAUAAAAACAAGAAUGCUCAGUUACGUAGAGCUAACUCAAAGAUGUGACUGAACCAAGUGACCACCAAACAUCACUGUGCUCUUUGGUAAUAUCAUGUUUAAAACUACUGUCUCAAUGUAUGUAGUUGUUUGUAAAGUAAUUAAAAUUGACUAAAUAUUUUAGAAAGUAUUGUUAGUUGAUUAUAUUUAACAUAUCAUUAAACAAAGAACACUGGAUCCAUUUAUUGCUAAAAAUGCCACAUCAACUGUGGGGCAUCUGGUCAGGUUUACUUAUUAUCGCCUUCAAUUAGAACUCUUAUGGAUUUUCUAAUUCUCGAUAAAAGAAGCAAGAUCUAUGUUUGAUACAUAAUUGAAUGCAAGUUAGGGUAGGAUUGGAUAAUUUAAGCUAUUAGCCUCAUUAUGUCUGCACACUUAUUGACUAUUGGUGCAUUUUUAUAAAAUGUGUUGCUAUUAACUGAAAAUGAAACUCUUCUAUUCCACUGAUCAAAUUUGGAUAAUACUGUUGUAAUAUCCUAUAACCAUAGUCAAUUGACACUCCAUUCUAGUUAUUAAUUAAAGUCAAUAUUUUAUUGCAAGAUCUUUUACUAUGGAAUAAGGAAACAGACACACUGAUAGGUGUACAGUACCAUUGCAAAUCAAUAGAUUUUUGUUUAAAAUUGUGAUAAGUUAGGUUAUUACAACAAUUAAAAUAAUGUGAUAUUCGCAGUUACAUAAUCUCUAAUUAUUUAGUGCUGUGUAUUUUUUAAUCAUCAUCCCUGGACAUAAUAGUGUGAUUCUAUGCUUUUUUAAAAUUCCACUUGCUAAGUAUUUGUUUCUUCCCUCUUUUGGAUUUUCUGUAAUAUACAGCUCAAGUGCUGUGAGGCCAUCAACUAGCGUACCUCUACAAUGCAUCUCAAGCUUCAGAAAGUGACUAUUUCUGAGACAAAGGCCCAUUUUCCCUCCUAUCGUCCAGAACAAAACCAGUGAUAUUCAUUCUAUAUCUUUCUGAAAAGAGGGGUUUGAAUUGCUCACAUAGGACAAACCCAGGUCCUAGCGUAGAACUGUCCUAUCCCUCAAUUUGAAAGAUAAUGGAAAUGUUCAAUCUAUUUCCCUUAUUGCAAUGACUGGCUCUACAUUUUUAGUUAUGUAGCUGAUGAGUUUUUGUUUGGAAAUUGACAACUACAACCCUGAAUUACUCUUUCAAACUUCAGCAGUGGCCACUGAUAUUGAAGUUUGAAAGAAAUGACUGCUGAGCAGGUACAUUUUCGGCUGCAUUGAAAUCAUCCAACUUUAUGUUAUUAGUUCUGCUUAACUCAAUGUGAAUGCUGCAUUUGAAAUAUCAUGGUUGCUCGAUUUACACUAUACUUUAGAGCAGGAUAAGAGCGAUUGCCAAACCCUGAAGUGCAAAAAACAAUAGAAGCUAGUAUCACUUUAAGCUGCUGGAAUGUUAGAAAAUGUGGAGCCACACAAACAUUGACAUUCAUUCCAUUAAUCAGCAAAUAAUAGCAAGAUCUAUUGCUGCACUUAUUUUAAACAGCAAAUAAGAAAGUGAUCAUACAGGCAUGAAGUCUUGGCAUCGGCAUAAAUCUAAACUCAGCAUUCUACUAAAUGAUUACAUUACAGGUUUAAUUCAUGGCUAAAGCCAUACUGAACUGAAGCCUAAAUUAUUUGUUAUAAACAGAGUAAUGCAAAUAAUUGUACAGCAUUCCAAGAAUUGUCAGCAUGUGAAAAUCAGACGUAAUUUUAGUAAUUCCUUUAUACAUUAAAAUGAACAGCUGCAGCAAAAAACUAAAUUAUAUCGGAUUACAAUGUCUAUCUUUUUGUGGAUAUUGUCCAAAACUUGAAUGCAGACUUGAACAUAUAAUCUAUUUUGAAGAUUAUUGUUAAUAUUACAAAGAAAGUUGCUGGCUUUGAACCUCCUGUAGUUGUGUUGAUUUGUGAUAAUAGCCACCUCUUCUGUGAUACAAACUGUUCUAUUCUUUUUCACAAUUUUUUGUAAUAGCAAACUCUUCAAUUAUUGUUUGGCGCACUUGAGUGUAAGCUAUGGUUUAUUUUUUUUCCAGUCCAUUCAUUCCAAAUCUUUGUGAACCCACUUGAAGCCUUACUUGGUGAAAAAGAUAAAAAAGAAAAUCAAGAACAGACUUUUUCUCUUGUCACUUCAAAAGAAUAGCACAAGAAUAGGAAGUACAGCCCAGUGUAAUCUAGAAAACAUAAAAUGUGAUAAAAUCUCUUUGCAAAGGCCUCAGGUAAAAGUAGAACUGGGGUUUUUUGUGUUCUUCAAAUUGUUUUAAUGGAGUUCGAUCGUCAAGAUGCUUCCUUCAAUGUUUGGUGAUUCAACCGAUUUGCUUACUGCAAUGAUGGAUCACUUCCCACCAAUUGCUUCCCUUUUCUUUUUACAUCAAUGAUGAUCUACAUUUGUGAAUUUUUCUCACCCUCGUUAGCUUCAUCCAGGCUCAACAUAUUUUGUUCCUUGUCCUUUUCAGAAUAGUCAAGUGCUAUUUCAGUGUCUGUUGUAUCUACAGUUUGCACUUCUUGAACUCCUUCCUUGUGCAACAUUGGAGUACUUUCAGAAACAUGAUUAGACUCAAUGCUGUCAACACAAGGUUCUUUUGCUGGACAUUCAUUUUGCUUUAGUGGUUCUGCAGCUUUCUUAUCUUCAUCUGCCACAUUAUUAACAGUUGCUGUUAAGUCUUCUUUUGACUCCUCUUCCUCACUCUGAUUUUUCAUACUUUCUUCAGUUGUUGAUGGUGAGGUUUUGUGUUCAAGCUCCUCAACCAUGGAUGGUGAGUUUUUGGGUUCCUUAUCUUCCUCACCAUGCUCUUCCAAAAGCUCCUCAACUGUGGGUGGUGAGCCUUUGGGUUCCCUAUCUUCCUCACCAUGGUCUUCUAAAAGCUCCUCAAUGGUUGACUGUGAGCCUUUAGAUUCAUCAUCUUCCUCACUUUGUUCUUCCCCAAGUUCCUCAACUGUUGAUUGCAAGGCUUUGAGUUCAUUAGCUUUCUCACUGUGGCUUUGCACAAGUUCUUCAACUGAUGCCAGUAUGUUUUCUACUUUAGGUUCCUUAUUUUCCUCACUUUGACCAUCCACAAGUUCAACUGCAGACACAUCAACCUCUUUCAUUUCAUCUAUAUCCUUUAAAUGUUCGUCCAGUUUUGGACUAGGUUCCUUGUCAACUUGACUAUGAAUUUCGUCAUUAGACGAAAUAGCUUUCUGAGUCUCAGGACCUUCUUCAACUGGCACAACUGCCACUGUUAACAGAUCAUGUAUUUCUUUUAAACUAUCAGGAGCUGGGGCAGGUAUCCUUUCUUCUUGUGUUUCAGCUUGUCUGUUCUGGCAUUCACUUGUUGGUACAUUAUCAUUAUUGUUCUGAUUAUCUAAAGUAAUUAGUUUGUCAGGUUCCUGAUUGGCAUCUACUUGCAUAAUCACUUCUCCACUCUGUUUAGAAUCUAAUGUCGUAUGAAGAAUGUUAUCCUGAGAGGCUGAUGACGGUUCACAUUCCUGCUUCUCAUUCAAUGAAGAUUCUGUUGCAGGGCUAGACAUUUGUAAAGUAAUUUUUUCUUCCGUUUCUAAUCCCUCAGCAUCUGACCCUUCGGAUGAUGUUUUAGCAGGGCUCCUUGAUUGAGAAUCUGGUGGAGUCUUCCCUUCAUUUUUGUCAGUGAGAUUGCUAUCGCUGUCACUAGUAUAAGUCAUGUUGUCUUCAAACAGAUUGUGUUUCUUCAAGAUGGCAGCUUCAUUCACCACUAUGAAGAAAAAAUAAAUUGUUUCUUAAAUGACAACAAAUUAAAACUGUGUAGUUUACCUUAAUGAAAUGCAACAUUUCUAGUAAAAGUUUUGCACAGAUAAUUAGUCAAAAAUGGAGGCCAAGCCAAAAGAAAUCGAAGUAUGGUUAGCUAAAAGCUCAGAUUUGGGUUUUAAAGAAAGUCUUAAAGGAGGGUAGGAAGAUGCACAGGAAGUGGACAUAGAGAGAAAGUGCAACUGAAGGCAUGAUCACCAAUAAUGGGUCAAAGGAGGAUGGAUGCUCAAAAGGUUAGAAGAAUGAAGAAUGUGAAAAUCUGAAGGAGAUUUCUCAACACAGGGAGAACUUGGAUCAGAGGAGGGUGAGAAUUUUCAAAUAGUGGAAAAUUGGUGACUGCGGAGCAAUGAAGCUCAGAAAAAGUAGUGGUGAUGGAUGAACAAGAUUUGCUGCAUGUAGAAUUUAGUCAGCAGAUUUUUGGAAGUGUUGUAAUCAAUACAUAGUGAGCAAUGGGAGGCCUGGAAAUCACUGCAACAGGCGAUUUUAAAGUAACAAUGAAUAACCGAACUUUUCAACAGUGGAUAGCAACAAAUUCAAUGUAAGGCAUGGGGUUGAAUGUCGUGACAAAGUUGCCAGUUUGACACCAUCCAGGACAAGCAGCCUGCAUGACUGGCACCACAUCCACUCCCUGCACCACCGAUGCUCAAGAGCAGCAAGAUGCACUGCAAAAAUUCACCAAAGUUUCUUUGACAGCACCUUCUAAACCCACAACCACUUCUAUCUAGAAGGACAAUGGCAGUACAUACAUGAGAACACCACCACCCUGCAAACUCCCCUCCAAGCCACUCACCAUCACCUGACUUUGAAAUAUAUUGCCAAUUCUUUCAGUGUUGCCGAGUAAAGUCUUGGAAUUCCCUCCCUAAGGGCAUUGUGGAUCAACCUACAGUACGUGGACUGCAAUCGUUCGAGAUGGCAGUUCACCACUACCUUCUCAAGGGCAACUUGUAAUAGGAAAUAAAUGUCAGCCAGCAACGCCCAUGUCCUUCAAAUGAAUAAAAAAAACUUACAUGAUAUUUGGCUAUUAUGUACGAGCCAUAUUUCAUAGCUGCCGAAGUCAGUUCACAGUACUAAAACAUCUCCCUCCUACCUUAACCCAUACCAAGCAGUAAACUAGCUGGAAGGUCUUUUUCUCUUUAAUUAAAAAUCAAAACAUUUUGGGUAUACCCCAGGUUAAAUGACCACACUAAGUGCUGUUGUAUCACCGUGGUAUUUAAGUUUUUGGUCUUCCAGAACUGUACCAGCCAUGUUGAAGUUUCAGCUAAUUUUCUAAGAUUGGCACUCACGAAACAAAACACUCACCUUUGACCACCUCCUUGAGAACAGUCUCAAGUAAGAUUUCUUCAUAGAUAUUCUCCACCUGAAUAAGCUUUGUAUAAUCUGCAAAGAUGUAUUCCUCAAACUUCUGGAGCUUCUGUUCAAGGAGAAAAUUGUAGUUGACAUUCAGCUCUUUGCUAACCAGCAAUAUGGUUUAUUUUUAACCAUCCUCAAUUCAGACAUUCACAUUGUCUCUUCAGCUACAAGUUGUAGCCAUGAGGAGAAUAUCAUUUUCAAGACAUAUGGCUGAAAAAUUCUUUUAGGUAAUUGCACGAGAUUUUUGAAUAUGACACAGCUGAUUGCAUAUCCUCAUGACAACUCCACCAUCUCCUACUCCAACUUGGUUAAGUUUGGGGUGAAAAUGUCUGUUAUCGGUCUUCCCGUCCCACAACGAUUAAGGCCCUUCAGCAGACAACUCAUGAGCAACUAAGGGGUACAUUCUAACACUCCAGUAUUUACCAAGAUGCAGGUGGGUCUGUCACUGUCGGCAGAACAAGUAAAGCCGUACAGACUGUGUCAUUUCCUCAGGAUUUUGGGGAGACCCACCCUCAAAGAUACUCAGUAUGUAAUCGAGAAGCAUGGCAUCAGGAAGGUGGACGGGUGGAGCUGUUGAGAGCCAUCCCCUCCAUUUAUUGCUGACAAGGGCACAAUGUUUCUACCCCUCCCCCACCAAGAACUCCUCAUGAGGGACCCUAAGUAAAACUGAAAGAAAUGCGGAUGCAGUAAAGCAGAGACAAAAACAGAAAUUACUGGAAAAGCUCAGCAGGUCUGGUGACAUGUGUGGAGAGAAAUCAAAAAGCUAACGCUUUGGGUUGAGUGACCCUUCCAUAGAAUACGAAGCAUUAAAUGAGUUCUCUCCACAGAUGCUGCCGCACACUGAGUUUUUCCGGGAUUUUCUGUUUCUGUCUCUUGAGGGAAUCUGUUCGGCUAAAGGAAGCAGGGAGGCACUGCUUUUUUUUAUUCUGAGUCACUUCUUUGUAAGGUUAUAGCGUCACUUGAAACAUUAUCUUCAGUUUUUGUGUUAAUGUAUGGGGUAUUUGGACUUAUACAAUCAUAAUGAGAAGAAUUAAAUCAAUAUCCUCAAUCAUUACCAACUCCAGUUAACUUUAAACCCACAACAAACGAGGACAGAUAUAAAGAAACAAAACACUUUUUUUUAAAAAAAGAUAACUGACCCAUACAUUUAAACACAAAAGCCAUCACCCUGAACACAACUUCAGCUGAUUGAUGAGGUAUGAGCUAACACAUUUCCAUCAUAUAUUCACAAAGCCAGAAUACAUUAACCCAGAAAUUAUUAGUCUUUUCUCUGCAUCUCAAGAUCUUAAUUUCAGAUUUAAGUUUAAUAAUUAAGAAGUGCUCAUUACAAUGGCAUCUACUACAAUCUUCCCCCACAGGGUAGCUCCCAAACAUGCAACACCUUUAGAGAUACCACAUUAAUUUGCUAAUUACUUAAGUAAUUUCAAAUUUUCUUUCUCCCUGUUAGCUGAAUGUUCCUUUGGUGACAUUUUUGAAAUGUUCUCAUACUUUGCAGCCUCUGUCUGUCUCCUAAGGCUUCCCUUUUUCUUUCACUCUCCUUUGCAGCCAGUAGUUUCCCCAUUUCUUCCCUGUCCCCUUGCAGCCUCCAUAUGUCCCAAGGCCUAUCUCUGAACCCUGGCCCCCGGUCCAGAGGUAGGCACACCACCACUGUUUGGCAUUUUGUCAUGAUCGGAGAUGAAGCCUGACCCUGAUGUCUGUCUAACUGGCUUGUGAUCUCUCACGGGAUUGGUAUCCUACAGACAAGUCACCUCUGCGUCCACAAGACUUGUGCAAUUUAACUUCCUACAAUUAUUUAAAUGCAAAACAAAAAUUGAAAAUAAAUAGUGUAGGUAUCAGAAUUGCUCUGAUGGUGGAUACCUCUGCUUAAUCUGUCUCUCUUUCUUGUUUUCAUGAAGUCAUUGUUUUAUAAUACCCCUGCAGCAGAGGGAGAAAUUCCAGUUUAUAUCUAUGUGCCCAUUGUUGCCCAGCAUUAUUUCAAACAAAGUCGUUAUUUUUUGUUACGUUGCAGAAAUGAGAUUUAGAGCAAUUACUUUUUAAUUGGGGGGUUUAAUCCUGUUUAAGAAAAUAGUUACAAUUUGGAUUAAACAAAAGAUAAACAUUGCAUACCGAUUCAUGAGGAGCCUUUGAAGAUCACCAAUUUUAAACUUUCAGAAUGAAGAUUAAAUGUAAUUUGUAACAUCAAAAGUUUACUGUAGCAGCAAGAUCUGGUGCAUCCUUCAAGCUACAAACUCAAUUCCCAUUCCUAAUUGAUCCGUUUCCAUCUAUUUGGGUUCAGUUGUUUUCCUUUCUUUAACUGACAGCGAUUUUUAUUUUUCUUUCAUCAAGACCCUAAACCCCUGCAUUGAUGGCUGCUAUUUGAUUCCCAGGGAUACAGAUGGGAAAAAAUUGUAAGAAGUGCCCAAAUAUUCUUCCAAACUUCACUUCCAGGGAUCUCAAGUGAACAAACGUAUAAAAGACAUCUCCUGCACCUACAGCUGCUAUCCCUGCACAGUGACAGACUGAUCUACUGCUCAGGUCAGCAACUCCUCCCAAAUCACAUUAAGUCUUGCCCAGUCUUCAGGGAAAGUCAAGUGAAAAGAACAAGAUAAAAUGAAGGGUCUAAGCCCGAAGCAUCAGCUUUCCUGCUCUUCUGAUGCUGCUUGGCUUGCUGUGUUCAUCCAGCUCUACACCUUAUCUAAAAUGUGAAUUUUGAUUUUCAGCAAGUGUUUCUGAAGUUGUUGAUCCUGCCCUGAAAUUUAAACCAGGCAGAACCCACAGCAUCAAGAUCUAGGAUCGGAAUUUAAUGUCCUCUCCUGAAGUGAGUUUGGUGGCAGCGGGGCAUUUAAUUAGGUGGGAGGGUACAAAGUAGGGCCCUGCUGCCUUCCCACCUCGGCCCCUGAUUAAGUGUGGGUCAGGAAGGCUCACAGAUAUCAAA